CCUACGUGUGGCAGCAGUAGGGAAUCUUCCACAAUGGGCGAAAGCCUGAUGGAGCAACGCCGCGUGGGUGAAGAAGGUCUUCGGAUCGUAAAACCCUGUUGUUAGAGAAGAAAGUGCGUGAGAGUAACUGUUCACGUUUCGACGGUAUCUAACCAGAAAGCCACGGCUAACUACGUGCCAGCAGCCGCGGUAAUACGUAGGUGGCAAGCGUUAUCCGGAUUUAUUGGGCGUAAAGGUAACGCAGGCGGUCUUUUAAGUCUGUUGUGAAAGCCUUCGGCUUAACCGGAGUAGUGCAUUGGAUACUGGGAGACUUGAGUGCAGUAGAGGUAGGUGGAAGUCGAGGUGUAGCGGUGAAAUGCGUAGAUAUAUGGAAGAACACCAGUGGCGAAGGCGGCCCUCUGGUCUGUCACUGACGCUGAGGUUCGAAAGCGUGGGUAGCAAACAGGAUUAGAUACCCUAGUAGUC
rnacentral:rRNA from 1 species